GACGAACUGUGCGAACGUUAUUCGGAAUCACUGGGCUUACAGGGUGCGUAGGCGGCCUGUUAAGUAGGGUGUGAAAUCCCCCGGCCCAACCGGGGAAUGGCGCUCUAAACUAGCAGGCUUGAGUGAGCUAGGGGUACACGGAACUUCCAGUGGAGCGGUGAAAUGUGUUGAUAUUGGAAGGAACACUGGAGGCGAAAGCGGUGUACUGGGGCUUAACUGACGCUGAGGCACGAAAGCCAGGGGAGCGAACGGG
rnacentral:rRNA from 1 species